ACCUUUGGCGGGGAUGCUUUACAAUGCAGUCGGACGGCAGCACGGGCUUCGGCCUGGUGGCGAGUGGCGAACGGGUGAGUAAUGUAUCGGAACGUGCCCAGUAGCGGGGGAUAACUACGCGAAAGCGUGGCUAAUACCGCAUACGCCCUACGGGGGAAAGCGGGGGACCUUCGGGCCUCGCACUAUUGGAGCGGCCGAUAUCGGAUUAGCUAGUUGGUGGGGUAACGGCCUACCAAGGCGACGAUCCGUAGCUGGUUUGAGAGGACGACCAGCCACACUGGGACUGAGACACGGCCCAGACUCCUACGGGAGGCAGCAGUGGGGAAUUUUGGACAAUGGGGGCAACCCUGAUCCAGCCAUCCCGCGUGUGCGAUGAAGGCCUUCGGGUUGUAAAGCACUUUUGGCAGGAAAGAAACGGCACGGGCUAAUAUCCUGUGCAACUGACGGUACCUGCAGAAUAAGCACCGGCUAACUACGUGCCAGCAGCCGCGGUAAUACGUAGGGUGCAAGCGUUAAUCGGAAUUACUGGGCGUAAAGCGUGCGCAGGCGGUUCGGAAAGAAAGAUGUGAAAUCCCAGGGCUUAACCUUGGAACUGCAUUUUUAACUACCGGGCUAGAGUGUGUCAGAGGGAGGUGGAAUUCCGCGUGUAGCAGUGAAAUGCGUAGAUAUGCGGAGGAACACCGAUGGCGAAGGCAGCCUCCUGGGAUAACACUGACGCUCAUGCACGAAAGCGUGGGGAGCAAACAGGAUUAGAUACCCUGGUAGUCCACGCCCUAAACGAUGUCAACUAGCUGUUGGGGCCUUCGGGCCUUGGUAGCGCAGCUAACGCGUGAAGUUGACCGCCUGGGGAGUACGGUCGCAAGAUUAAAACUCAAAGGAAUUGACGGGGACCCGCACAAGCGGUGGAUGAUGUGGAUUAAUUCGAUGCAACGCGAAAAACCUUACCUACCUCUUGACAUGUCUGGAAUCCCGAAGAGAUUUGGGAGUGCUCGCAAGAGAACCGGGAACAACAGGUGCUGCAUGGCUGUCGUCAGCUUCGUGUCGUGAGAUGUUGGGUUAAGUCCCGCAACGAGCCGCAACCCUUGUCAUUAGUUGCUACCGAAAGGGCACCUCUAAUGAGAACUGGCCGGGUGACAAACCGGUAGGAAGGUGGGGAUGACGUCAAGUCCUCAUGGCCCUUAUGGGUAGGGCUUCACACGUCAUACAAUGGUCGGGACAGAGGGUCGCCAACCCGCGAGGGGGAGCCAAUCCCAGAAACCCGAUCGUAGUCCGGAUCGCAGUCUGCAACUCGACUGCGUGAAGUCGGAAUCGCUAGUAAUCGCGGAUCAGCAUGUCGCGGUGAAUACGUUCCCGGGUCUUGUACACACCGCCCGUCACACCAUGGGAGUGGGUUUUACCAGAAGUAGUUAGCCUAACCGCAAGGGGGGCGAAUACCCACG
rnacentral:rRNA from 1 species